rnacentral:rRNA from 1 species
ACGGGUGAGUAACACGUGAGCAAUCUGCCCAUCACAUCGGGAUAACUCCGGGAAACCGAAGCUAAUACCGAAUACGACCACUCCCGGCAUCGGGUGGUGGUGGAAAGUUCCGGCGGUGAUGGAUGAGCUCGCGGCCUAUCAGCUUGUUGGUGGGGUAAUGGCCCACCAAGGCAACGACGGGUAGCCGGCCUGAGAGGGUGACCGGCCACACUGGGACUGAGACACGGCCCAGACUCCUACGGGAGGCAGCAGUGGGGAAUAUUGGACAAUGGGCGAAAGCCUGAUCCAGCAACGCCGCGUGAGGGAUGACGGCCUUCGGGUUGUAAACCUCUUUCAGCAGGGACGAAGCGAAAGUGACGGUACCUGCAGAAGAAGCACCGGCCAACUACGUGCCAGCAGCCGCGGUAAUACGUAGGGUGCGAGCGUUGUCCGGAAUUAUUGGGCGUAAAGGGCUCGUAGGCGGUUUGUCACGUCGGGAGUGAAAACUCAGGGCUUAACCCUGAGCCUGCUUCCGAUACGGGCAGACUAGAGGUAUGCAGGGGAGAACGGAAUUCCUGGUGUAGCGGUGAAAUGCGCAGA